AAGUAAUCGCCUGAGGUACAUUGAUACUAAAAUUGGAACGAUACAGAGAAGAUUAGCAUGGCCCCUGCGCAAGGAUGACACGCAAAAUCGUGAAGCGUUCCACAUUUUU
rnacentral:snRNA from 1 species